GUGUUGUACUAUAGGCUUUGUUUGUUUAAUGUGAUGUUGGUUGUUCUUUUUCUUUUUGAAGGUUUGUACAUUCAUGUUCAGUUCUUCGAUUCAUGUUCAGUUCUUCACCUUAAGUCUGCACUCUCCACCCUCAAACUUCACUUCGCCGACAUGAAAGUUCAAGCCCUGAUUUCCAACCGGUCAGAUCAUAAAUCGAAACAAAGAUUUCAUUCUUGAGACACACCUUUGCAAAUUUUUAGCCACGUAGUCUGAUUCAUCUGUUUUGUAUAAGCAAGAGAGAUAGAGAGGCUAAGAGAGAGAAAGUGUAUUCGGUGUAGAUAGAGAGAUAGGCAUGGGGCGGAGGUAUGCGACGGUGUUUAGGGUUCCGCCAACGACCUGCCUUCUUCAAAAUUUUGAGACAGGUUGAACAGAUUCUGAGAUAGAGAGAGUGAGCGGCGCCGGGAUAUAAAGAGAAGGAUCAUGAUGAGAGAGACAUCGGGAUCUUUUCCUCCCACCGAUUCACCAUAAAAUCCAGCCACCUACUGGGCUUAUUGCGAUACGUCUCCAUUAGUUUUUUCUAGCUGUCUCUUUUUUCCCAAUUGUCGUUUGUAUGGUUCCCUUUUUUUUACCUGGGUUCUCAGGCGCAUGGACCACUCAUCUGUUAUACAAGUUAACCUUCAACUGUCUUGGGCUUCUUCUGGUAAACAAGAUGUUGAAGAUUACAACGGUUGGGUCUUUGGGGAAGAAAGUGUUGGCUCCAAAAGGCAGACGAAAGGGUUGCCGACGUUUGUUUUGUUUGAUAUUGGGAGUUCAGUUGUGGCUUUACUUGAUGUGUUUGCUCAUUUAGCAUUGUCAAAAAAGGGUUUUGUUUUUCGGUUUCAUGUUUUGGUUGAUAAGAAAUCGUUGGGUUCGGAAGAUGGAUUAAAAGUGGACGAAUGUUUUGAUGAGCCAAUGAUGGAAAAUGUUGAUGUGAUUGCAAAAGAAGGUAUUAAUUGUGUUUGUUAUUCUGAAUGUGUUAUUGUUGUGGAUUUUAUGUUUGCGUAUUUUUUUUGCUGGAGAUUGUUUUACAGUAAACGGUCGUGCUAAUUGGAAAUUUAAUUUAGUUGCAUAUCACACAUGAUGGUUUUCGUUGACAUGAAGAAACAGUCUCGACCAUGUAGAUCUGGGGUAUUGUAUUGUGGCUGUGAUAGAUCUAGGAUGACAAGAUGACGUGUCGAGGUGUCUGGGGUUCUGAUCAGCCUCGACUAUUGGUCAGAUGAGCAUUUGACGUCCCACUGAUGAAGGAAGACCAUGGAACUCAAUCAUCGCUGGUGCCGCCACCUGCGGGUUUCUUCAGAUGCGCCAGGGAUUAUGGCCGGCGGGUCGCUCGGCUCUUUUAGGUGGCGUUUUGUUGGCCCUGAUUCAAGGGGCGGGAAUUACUUUAAUACAGUUAUUAGUGCGCAACAACCGCAACCGGUGGUUAUUGAAGAGGCGCCGCAGGUGGAGUUGGAGCAUUCUUCAGCGUCAUCUCCGUUGUGGUUUGGUGGUUUGUUUGGUGGCAGGCGAGAGGAGGAGAAGCCGAAGUUGAAAGUUGAAGUGUUGGAGAGUUUUGAUUCGCCAAUGCCGCCUACUUUUGAGUUUCAGUGACUUUGUUUUGAUGUUAUUUUGCACACCUGGUUGAAUAUCUUUAUGUUCUUGGGUUUGUUUAGAGUUGCCACAAGUUCGCAGACUUCCACAAUUACUUUU